rnacentral:lncRNA from 1 species
AGAGAGAGAGAUAAUCUGCAGAUGUUGUCCUAAAUUUUUCCAGUGGUUGUCCAGCUAACAUACGCGAGUCUAUGUAAACCGCUCGAUAAUUCGCAGUCGUUGUCUCGGACAACCACUGCAAGCUGCAGUGGUUGUCCCGAUCGCGUCCCGACCACGUAAUUCACGAUCGCACACUUCGCCCUCCAUAACACUGUAAAUUUCUUUCAACAUUUGUACAUUGAAGAUACCACUAUUAUGUUACAACAACAACAACAAAUAAUCUGUGAUUUCGAAUUUCGGGAAUCCAAGUUGUACGGUAAAUGUCUAAUUAUCGGAAAAUAUUGAUACCUAUUACAUUUAUCUUGUGACUACUCGCUAUUUUAGGAUUUUGAAAAUACGUGAAAAUAAUUUAAUACGAGAUAACGCCGCUUGAGAUGAGCAGAAUGAUGCUAAUUGCUAACGAAGCUUCGAAGUUUGCCAAAGUGAAAGUAAGACUCGCUUGCCGGGAAGUCUGGCGGCUCUCGCGAGGAGCUAACUCCAGGUAGCUGCGCCCCCCAAGGCGUGGCGGCAGAGCUUCCUGGAGUUGGCAAGUUGCCUACUGCACUGCCUACCGAGCUGAGCUGAGCUGAGCUGAGCGUGACAUGUGAAGCUACAACAAUUGCUAGCCCAACAGCUCUCAUAUUGACAUCUACUGUAAAGUUAAUCCAGGAUGUCAUUGUCUAGUGACAAUGACAUAGUGCUUGUUCAGUGGGACAGAGAUGGUCAGGAAAAUACAGUUCUCAAGAAUGAAUUGUGCUACACUGCAAGACUGAAAUUGGGGUCUAGAGCGGUGAUGAAUUAGACAGUUUGGAACUGAUGGACCCUGGCCUGGAACAGUGACAGUCAUUGCUGAUUUUGACACAGAAUCUAAAGCUGGGUCUGAAAAUGACGAUGUUCCACUUGCUUCUCUCAGAGAAAUAGAGAAGUCUGUCUGCACUCAAAUUCCUGCAAGUGUUCCCUCCAGCAACCAGGCCUCUGUAAGUGAACCCUUUCGCACCCAGGCCCCUGUGAGUGCGACCCUCCAAUACCCAGGCCCAUGUGAGUGGACCCUUCUGCAUCCAGUCCUUUGAGGGUACCCUUCUGCACUCAGCCCCCUGCAAGUGGACCCUCCAGCAACCAGCCCCCUGCGAGUGGACCUUUCUGCACCCAGACCCCUCCGAGUGGACUCUCCAGCAACCAGCCCCCUGCGAGUGGACCCUUCUGCACCAAAUCACUUGUAUCAAAUUUUUAGGUCGUGAUAUCUCCGGAAUCCUUUCACGAUCAAUUUUCUAGUUGAAGCAAUUUUUAGUAAAAAACUUUGCUGUCCAUUUGGUAAUAAUUGAAAUAAACACAUUUGUGUAGAAUAUGAGAAAUCAUUGAUCGAUAUCACAUUUUCUAAUAUAUUUUCAAAAUCUCUGCGAACUUUGGUCACCCCAUCAUACAUAUGUUACCAUCAAUUUUGCUUUUCAAAAGUUUGUUUCAAAGAGAAGUCCUGUCAACAAGAUUGAAUGCCUUUCUAUAAUUAAUAAAAGCACAGAAGAACUUUUCUUUAUUGGAAAGAUCUAAAUCAAUUAAUGUAUGAAGUACAAAAAUGUGAUGAAGCGUUGGAUGACCGUUAUGAAAACCAGGUUGUUCAUCCCCAAUCAAGUUAUUGUAUUUGAGAAAUGUAGUAAGACGCUCAUUCAGAACUGCAGUAAACAACUUGCCAAACCAACUGAGUAAGGUUAUACCUCUGUAAUUAUUAGGAUAGGGCUCCCCUUUUUUAUGUCUCUGUUACGAAGUAGCCGGAGGCAUUAUGUUUUCGGGUUGUCCGUCCGUACGUACGUACGUCCCGUUCUCGUGAUCGCAUUAUCUCAAGAACCAAUUGAU